rnacentral:rRNA from 1 species
CCCGCUUGCGGGUACUCGAGUGGCGAACGGGUGAGUAACACGUGGGUGAUCUGCCCUGGACUCUGGGAUAAGCCUGGGAAACUGGGUCUAAUACCGGAUAUGACCUUACAUCGCAUGGUGUUUGGUGGAAAGCUUUUGCGGUUCAGGAUGGGCCCGCGGCCUAUCAGCUUGUUGGUGGGGUAAUGGCCUACCAAGGCGACGACGGGUAGCCGACCUGAGAGGGUGAUCGGCCACACUGGGGACUGAGACACGGCCCAGACUCCUACGGGAGGCAGCAGUGGGGAAUAUUGCACAAUGGGCGCAAGCCUGAUGCAGCGACGCCGCGUGAGGGAUGACGGCCUUCGGGUUGUAAACCUCUUUCACCAGGGACGAAGCGCAAGUGACGGUACCUGGAGAAGAAGCACCGGCCAACUACGUGCCAGCAGCCGCGGUAAUACGUAGGGUGCGAGCGUUGUCCGGAAUUACUGGGCGUAAAGAGCUCGUAGGCGGUUUGUCGCGUCGUCUGUGAAAUUCUGCAACUCAAUUGUAGGCGUGCAGGCGAUACGGGCAGACUUGAGUACUACAGGGGAGACUGGAAUUCCUGGUGUAGCGGUGAAAUGCGCAGAUAUCAGGAGGAACACCGGUGGCGAAGGCGGGUCUCUGGGUAGUAACUGACGCUGAGGAGCGAAAGCGUGGGUAGCGAACAGGAUUAGAUACCCUGGUAGUCCACGCCGUAAACGGUGGGAAACUAGGUGUGGGGCUCAUUUCACGAGUUCCGUGCCGUAGCUAACGCAUUAAGUACCCCCCCSGCCU